rnacentral:lncRNA from 1 species
GGGUGAGCAAGAUGCGCUCGGCGAUGGGCUCGGCGGUGGGCUCGGUGGUGAGCAGCGUUAAGCGCUCCAUAGGCAGCCGCCGCAGCAGCGUGGACGGCGGCAGCGGCACUCAGACGCCCACGCAUCAGCAGGGCCGCGGCCGCACCUCCGGCUACGGCGGCCAGUCGUCUUGGAUAUCGCCGCAGCUGACGGCGCAGGACACGGCAGCGCUGUCCGCACGCAGCGAGGCGGGUGCGGGGGCGGUGGCGCUGGCGGCGCUGCCGGCACCUGAUAUGGUGGCUGGCGGCGCGGGCAAGGGAGAUGAGGGAGGCAACGUGGCGGCGGCGACGUUUGACCCCCGCGUGGCGGCGGCGGCGUGCUCGCCGUAUGGCAAGGCAGCCUGAAGGCGUACACGCUCGACUUCCACGGCCGCAUCCGCGCCAGCAGCGUGAAGAACUUCCAGCUGGUGCACUGGGACCACAACACGGACCGCAAGGGCUCUGACCUGGUGCUGCAGUUUGGAAAGAUUGACGAGAACACUGACGACUUCGCGCUGGAUUUCACCUACCCGCUCAGCCUGCAGAAGGCGUUCGCCAUCGCGCUCGCAAGCACCGACACAAAGCUGUGCUACGCGUUGUAAGCAGCUGGCAGUUUGCACGAUUGCGCCGCGAUGCGCAGCGGUCUCGGUGUGAAGCGCGGGAGCGUGUGUGGGUGGGACGCGUGAUGAUGCGGUGCGGCGCGAUGUUCAUGCACGAGUGGAAUGCACAUGGGUGCGUUGGGUGUGCAGCCCAAAACCCGAAUUGAUAAAUGCUGUUGAUUUGUGGCGUGCGCGCGCACGCAUGGGUGCGCAAGCACGACUUGUCGAGGUGACGUCCCAUGAUCCCAUUGUGUUUGGUUUGUGUAGUACAUAUUCGCAGGUUGCGCGCAGGUGUGUGUGUGCCUGCAGGGCGGUCUGCGAGGCUGGGGUGUGAAAGGCAUUGUUUCAUUCUGACCAUGGAAGCUUCAUGGUCCUGAUCCGCCGCUUGACGCUGCCGCAUGCAUGGCAGGAUAUUUACGUGAGCCACCUAUGGCAAUUACACGCAGAUAAAGACUCUAUCAACUGCGUUCUGCUGCGCUGCUGGAUGGUUGCCGGUGGCAUGUACAGGUUCGGUGGUAUCAUGGAUAGCGGUGCGGGGUAACGGCCCGAUGGUUGGGACUGACGCGUGAGCUGACUACAGGACCAAACCGUAGUAUUGAUGCAUCUUGACGGAUUAACGCUGAUUGCGGCAGGGCCUGACGGGGCUGGCAGGCUGGGGGCUCACACUGGAACUGAAAGCAAACACUUUCAAAGCUUGGACGAGGUAUGACGACGAUGCUGCUGGUCGUCGGGAUGCCGUGCUGACUGGCUGAAAUUUGGAGGAGACUGCUGUGAACCCGUGUGAUGUUACUGGGACACUGUUGCAUGGAUGGGGCGUGCCAAUCGCCCAAACGUAGUGAGCAAAGAUGCUGCCUCCAACCACGAGGCCAACCUGGCGAAGCCGUACUGUAACAAUUACGGAUUGCAAAUUGUCCCGCCACGCACACGGCUGACAGGCAGAGCGCUGUAGGCCUGCAGCAUAGCAGCGGCGAGGGCCUCCCGUAGCGCUGACAGCGCACAGUCCGCCUUGCUACGUCGCUACUCGCUGGGCUUAGUAUUGGAACCACCUCCAGACUGACGCGGGGCCGGGGCGGCGUCCAGCCGACAGCUGUAGGGAUGACCCAAAAGGCCAGAAGGCCAGCUGUACAAUUGGAGCGGCAGGGCCCUGGGCAGGGUCCGGGGAUCCCGGGCAGAAGCGACAUGAAAGGUGGCUCUCCCCAGGGAAAAGUGGGCUGCACCCACGUCACGUCGUCACGUUGGCGCAUUGCAGAAGCGGAAACAGUGUGCCAGGCGGCUGACGAGGGUAGCAAUGACGAAGAAUGCCUAAAUGUGGCAGGUGAUACCGGUGAGGCGGCGACUGACGCUGACUGACGUGUGCUGACCACGCUGCGCAGGCGUCUGGCGGCAAUACCAGGGCGCCAUGCACUUAGUCACCAUAACAAUGACGUUGGAGCUUUUGGCCCCUGCCCAGCUGAGCUCAUGCCCCCCUGGAUGAGCCUACCAGCUGUCGCUUUGAGCACGGCCGGCACCCGCCUUUGUAGUUUAGCUGGGCACGCCCUGGGUAAAUCAAUGGCAUGGGCAGCUGAUAGCAUGCCGGGGUAUUAUGAGCAUGUGACGUCAGGUCGUCAGCCUCUUCGGGUGCGGCGGGUCCGUGUGCCUCGUGUGGGAGCCGGGGGUGGAAGAGGGGUAAAGUGCGCGCCCGGAUUGACGUGCGCUCGAGACCGUCGACGUGAGCUCGGCACAACUGGCCAUGCACAGUACAAUCAUUUAUAUAUCAGAUAUCAUUCUUUCCCGCUUUCUCGUGACCCGCGCCAUAGACGGAACUCGCAUUCCUUGGAAGAGCGCUCUCGUUUGGCCCGUGGGCAUUUCAAUUGACAGAAUCAUGCCUAUCAUCUCCUAUCAUACAAAGGGUGCGGCAGACGCUAAGCUUCGGAGUUGAACUUGUGAAGGCCCUGCGAAUGGGCCGCACGCUCUCUGGACGACCCAGACAGAGCGACACAAGCUCAUCUGGCGAAGAAUCAGAAGGAGAUGGAGGCCAACAGCACGCUCUGUUCCAUGCGCUGGCCCAGGGACGGGGUAUGGAGUCUCUCGACGCGCCCUCGGAAUCGGUGGACUAUCGCCAAGCGCAACGGGCUCGGUUACAGCAAUUAAACAACGAUGAAGUUGCUGCUCGGGUCGCUGCUCGCGUCAAGAAGGACGCAGUUUUCGGUGCGUCCUCUGGAGCCCGUGUGCCGACUCGUAAGGGACACAGUUAAAAAGUCUUGUGCUAACCAUAGGGCGGGCGUGCCGAGGGCUGUGUACCAUUGCCACCAUGUCAUGCCAAGCUUAGUCGCAGGCCGUUAACCAGUUCCUGUUGCGCACAGGACAAGGCGAGCACGCAGCCUUCGGUGCAGGGCACCGGCGGAGCAGCGACACUGGCGCGGGGUUUAGUCCCCGGGAAGGGGGGGCGCCGGGCCUCAUGCCCAGCGCAAGCGGGCGCCACCCGCCGACCAUCAUGCCCAGCGCAAGUGGGAGACACCCGCCGGCCCUGUUGCCCAGCGCUAGUGGGAGGCCUGCACCGGGCCUGGUGCCAAGCGCCAGUGGGAGGCAUCAGCCCAGGCUCGUGCCCAGCGCCAGCGGCAGGCACCCAGCGGCAGGCGACAACGCCGGGCACGCGGGCUUGACUGCGCCCGAGCCGGCCGUAACGCUGACCCCUGUAGCUGAGGAGCAGCCGCAACCGGCGGCUGUGGGCGGCACAGGGCUGGGGACCGGCGCCGCAACGCGGCCUGACAGCCCGCUAGAGAUGCAGCUGCAGGCCCUGCUGCAACAGCAACAACAACGGCCGGCGAGCGGCGCGCAGGGCGCCGCCGACGGCUUGGACAGGAAAGGCGCGGACUACGGCGCAGCCGCCGCUGCCGCGGCGGUCGGAGCUGCAGCUGCGAAGCCGCCGUCGGCGGCGCAGGUGCCGUUGGUGCCGCUGAUGCUGGCGACGGUGCCUCUGGAGGACAAGGCAGCGGGCGCGGGUGGUGGCGGGGGCGGCGACCGGCCGGGAUCUCGGCCGGGCGGGCCGCGGCGGCCGGACACAGCCAAUAGCCUGGCCACGUCGCUGGCGCAUGAGGGCACUUACGACAUUGAUGAGCAGGUGGGAGGGGUGUGGCUGGAGAGGGGAGGAGACGGUANNNNNNNNNNNNNNNNNNNNNNNNNNNNNNNNNNNNNNNNNNNNNNNNNNNNNNNNNNNNNNNNNNNNNNNNNNNNNNNNNNNNNNNNNNNNNNNNNNNNUCGUGGGCAUGCACGUGUUCGGCGGGCUGGCACUGGAUCGAGACGCCUACCCCAACUUCGACACGUUCCUGAACUCGCUCGUCGCCACCUUCAACGUGAGGCCGGGGGCCUCCAAGGAGGGACGCCGGGGGCCGGGGUGCUGUCGUUCAUCUCGAGAACCCAAGAAAAGAGCCCAAGGGUGGUGGCGGUGCUGAGGCGUGCUGUGGAUGCUCACACCCCCACGCCUCUCACACGCUGCCUCCCCCCCCAAGAUGGUCUACCGUCUACCACUUCCUACCACUUCCUACCAAUCAUGAAUGUACCCCCCCACACACACACACACCUUUCGCGACAACUGAGGCUUCCUUCUUGAACACUCAUGAAUGUGACCCCCCCCCGGCCCCCGCAGACGCUGACGCUGGAGAACUACCAGAACACCAUGUACGGCGUGGUGCGCGCCUCCAACUGGGGCAGCUCCGUGUUCUUCGUGGCGUGGAUCGUGGUGGGCAAGUACAUCCUGCUCACGCUGUUCCUGGCCGUCACGCUGGAGGCCUUCGAGGCCAAGUACGACACGCAGGUGCGUGUGCGGCAGGCAGGCAGGCAGGCAGUCGGGCUGGCAGUCAGUCGGGCAGGCAAGAGAUAGGGGUGAAGGAAUGCGUUGUUAUGCCGGUGCCGGUGUUGAGAAUGUGGGAAAUAUUGCCGGCGCCAUGGUGGCGUCGAGUCUACCGGAUGGCAUGCAAGCGUGCGCAUGCCAGGAGCGCAGUACCUGAGUAGGUAGGCUGCAGCCGGCCCCCCAAGCUGCGCACAGGCUCUGGGUUGUUGCGCUGUCUGCAGCGCUCUUUGCAAAAUGCUGUGAGGCUGGCCACCAAAAUGGCAAGCACGCAGAAAAACACCUCUCUACGCCUGCUUGUGAAACCGACAACCUACGCAACCGCUUAACGAUUCUGCAGGGCGCCAACAGCAGCUGGGUGAGCAAGAUGCGCUCGGCGAUGGGCUCGGCGGUGGGCUCGGUGGUGAGCAGCGUUAAGCGCUCCAUAGGCAGCCGCCGCAGCAGCGUGGACGGCGGCAGCGGCACUCAGACGCCCACGCAUCAGCAGGGCCGCGGCCGCACCUCCGGCUACGGCGGCCAGUCGUCUUGGAUAUCGCCGCAGCUGACGGCGCAGGACACGGCAGCGCUGUCCGCACGCAGCGAGGCGGGUGCGGGGGCGGUGGCGCUGGCGGCGCUGCCGGCAC